CUCUCAAACCUCCGGUUUGGUCCUGCUUCGGCCUAAUAUCAACGGCGCUAGAAUAAGUUUUAGCCCCAUUCUUCUUCCUCACCCUCGUAAGACUACCCGCUGAACUUAAG
rnacentral:misc_RNA from 1 species